rnacentral:lncRNA from 1 species
AUGUUAGGGCAGAGGAUCUACGUGCAAUCACAAUGCAGACCAUUCAGAAGGACUUUAUCUGGAAACAAAAAUAUUCUGUGGCUGCAGUUCAGUGGUAAGGCCCUAAGAUGCCUCCCAAAUAACAUGGGUAUAUGUAUAAAAAUAAGGAAACAUAAAGGUCACACGUGGCUAGGAAAAUGAAAGAAUGUAAAAGAGUGAACAAUAUGGGAUAUCUCUAUUUGCUGCUGUGAUUUCUGGAGACCAGACCUCAUCGAUCAGGCAACUCAGGGCCUUUUCCCAUGUUAUGGCAGAUUCAUGAGCUCUAAGCUGGAAACCAGGUAAAUUGAUCAUGGAGAAAACCAGAUGGUUUAGGUGCAACUCUCUUUAUUUCAGAUCAUUUCUUUACAUUCAUUCACAGAUUCACCUCAAGCCUGAAUUUAUAGCAAAUUCCUAUUUCUGAUCCUGUCUAGGACCCAAGUCUACAAAGGUCACUUAUACCUUCAAGUUAAUGAUUUUCGAAGGUGGCUAUUUGAUUUGUCCUUUUCUCAUUUACACUGAAACAAGGGCCCUGUGUUCAUGGUACCCAGAUUGAACCAUAGGUUAUGUGGAUCGAACUAGAUGGGGAUACAAUAAUUGCAUUGAAUAGGAUGCAGGUAAUAGACUCCCCAGUUACCACAGAGACCACAAUGAGCAAAACAAAACCAGACCACCCUGGGAUGGCUUAAUGGCUGCACAAUCCUCCUCAGCCCAUCCCGAAUCUGGUCCAGUCUCAGCAGGUGGACACAAUGCUUGGGAACAUAAACCUCGUUAGGAGCAGAGUACACCUCCAGGUGGCCCUCCCUCCAGGAUACCUGGGUUACACUCACCUGGAGCAAACUUUCUGGCUCAGCAGCACAUCCAGCCCAUCCAGCACAGCUUGUAAAAUUCUUUUCUGCACCUGCCCAACUUCCACCUCUGUGUCUGAAGUCUGUAGAUUCCUCUUAUUCAUCAGUGCUCCUAGUGGCAGGGGGAGGGGGGACCAUGGCCUUCAGGGCCUCAGUGUGUCCCCUGGUGAAGGCCUCCAUGAACACUGGUGGGAAGAGCUCCCCUGGCAAAUCUUCCACAGCCCCCAUGGCCAAGUCCUUGUCCUUCAGCAAGCUCUGAGUUGCCAGUCUCAGUAGUGUGAGUGAGGGCUGGGUGCUCAUCCUGGUGAAUCUACAAGGCCAAGAGUCCUGGGGAGAUGUCAAGAAAGAGAUAUCCUUUCAGGAAAGGUUAAGACACCCUUUCUCCUCACCCAUCAGGAAAACUUUCAGCUAUAAAGUUCCUGUUCUGACAAUGGGAAAAGAGUCUUCAGUUUACCCUAAAUCUCUUCUGUUCUCAUGGUCCCAAAGCAUUACCCCUGCCUGUAAUGACACCAGGAACAAUGUCUAACAGCGCCCAGGUGAAGCAAAGUGAUGACUAAGACAUCCAUUUCCAACUGCAGCACCCUGAACUCUGGGC